rnacentral:rRNA from 1 species
GCACAAGCGGUGGAUUAUGUUGUUUAAUUCGACGCAACGCGAAGAACCUUACCAGGCCUUGACAUACUCGGCAAAGCUCUAGAGAUAGAGUGGAGGUUAUCCGGGAUACAGGUGGUGCAUGGUUGUCGUCAGCUCGUGUCGUGAGAUGUUGGGUUAAGUCCCGCAACGAGCGCAACCCUUGUCUUUAGUUGCCAUCAGGUAAUGCUGGGCACUCUAGCGAGACUGCCGGUAAUAAACCGGAGGAAGGUGGGAUGACGUCAAAUCAUCAUGCCCCUUAUGACCUGGGCUACACACGUGCUACAAUGGUUGGUACAACGAGUUGCGAGUCGGUGACGGCGAGCUAAUCUCUUAAAGCCAAUCUCAGUUCGGAUUGUAGGCUGCAACUCGCCUACAUGAAGUCGGAAUCGCUAGUAAUCGCGGAUCAGCACGCCGCGGUCGAAUACGUUCCGGCCUU